rnacentral:lncRNA from 12 species
CGCCGCGGGUCCCGGCCGCCCACGAGCGCGGGCUCCUGGAGCCCCGACCCCGGACCCACGAGGCGACCCCGAGGAAUUGGAAGGAAGAACGAAGGGCUGUGACUUGUUUUAUAGGCAGAAAACACACGCAGAACUGCGUAAUUUCGCUGUUGAGGCCUGGCCACCCGACACGCGCGUGCACGCACUCGGCAUCCGCGCUCCCGGGGAGCAUCCCUGGAGGAGGCAUCGGACCCCCCUGAAAACCGCGGGGGGGGCGGGGCUGAAGCCUCUCGCCCGAGGUCCGGCAAUUAGGGCAACGGGACCCACAACUUGGAUGGGGAUGAGCUGCGGAGCCAGAGAGUUUCGGGCAAGGGAGUGAGUCACACCUUCGCCCAGGUGCCCCUCCCGACCCCCAAGGAGAGCUCCAGGUGCCCAGGACCUCUGGACGAUGGGGCGGGGCGCGGGGGGCUGCAGGGAUUCAUCCUCCAGCCACUGCAAAAGUGUCUGCGCUCAUCAUCGUUAUUAUUUUUAUUUUUAAGACUGUGGUCCAUCAAAUUUAAAAUUCUUUCCAAAAAAAAAUUUUUUUUUUUUUUAAAUUAGAGACACAGGCAGAGGGAGAAGCAGGCUCCACGCAGGGAGCCCGAUGUGGGACUCGAUCCCGGGACCCCGGGGUCACGGCCUGGGUGGAAGGGAGGCGCUGAACCGCUCAGCCACCCCGGGCGGCCCCUCUUUCCAAAGGAAAAAAAAAAAAAAAAUGCGAGUUCUAAUUUAAUUCUCAGUGUUUCCCUUGCUCCAGUGUCAAGUCAUUUUCCUGUAUGUAGGGCCAGCGCUUUGGACCAAAAACAAAACAAAAACAAACAACAACAACAAAAACAAAAACAAAAACAAAAAACGAAAAAAAUCCGCCCCGAGAAAGGAACUAGCACGCAGAAUGCAGAAGGAUUGAGACCAGGAUUCUUCUGAAAGCUCACCAACGAUGAAUACCUCUCCCCAGAAUUUCUUGAUUUGUAUGACUCAUGAUCACCAUUAUGUUUCUUUAAUCUUUUAAAAAUAUUUGGUUUUAGACUAAAAAGAAAGAGCUAUGAUUGUAUAUUAAUAAGCACGUUACAUAAAUAAAUACUGUAAGAUUUAAAAUAAAAGUGGUGAA